CCACGGCCUAGUCGGCCGGAUCGGGGUGUUACAAGGGCUGUCUUUCAGUACACACAGGACGUCUGUGGGUCUCCGCCAGCACACACAGGACGUCCGUUGCUGUCCGUGUGUGUCCGUCAGCACAUACGGGACGUCCGUGGCUGUCCCUCAGUACACAUAUCAGAACGUUGGUCCUUCGACUCAGCACGCUGGCCCUUCCUGUGGACUGUUUGGGUGAUUUUGUCCCACGUGGGCAGUCU
rnacentral:lncRNA from 1 species